GGCUAACGUCAUAGAGAUUUCGAGCAGUGAGGAUUCCGGGUCUGACGUGUCGUUCAGCGCGGCGGAUAGGAUUUUUAUUGAUUCGUUGCGUCCGUCUGCCCAUGCAGGAACCUCACUGCCAGAACCGCUAGAAGUUGAGCCGCUACAGACCAUCCUCUGGGAAGUAGCUAUGGGUCGUGGUUCGCGUCCGGAGAGCUCUAGGGCGGGUGAGGCCGCUGCUGCCAAAGCUAGGCGCGACGAGCGUUUGGCG
rnacentral:lncRNA from 1 species